CGUCACCACCCAUUUCUGGGACGGGGAAGUGACCAGAGAGGUCACACAGAAGAGCGGGACAGUGAGCCCCAUCCCGUCAGCCAGGCCAAGGGGCUCCAGACCGUCUGCACCGAGACGAGCGGCCACUGCGAGGCUGGAGGUGACCUCGACGUGUUACUGCGGCAGCAAGGGGGCGAGCAGUGGCGAGACUGACAAUGACACGCUUCCUGUUUGGAUCCCAGGCUCCGACGCAGACAUCAGAAGGGUGACACCGUCCACACACCAGCAUGGGGGUGGCCAGCCGCCCUGUCACCCUUCUGGGAAGCCCCGCCCAAGUGGGCAUCUUCAUCCACGCUCAUCUGGCUUCGUGGAGAGUCCGUGUGCACAUCUGGCCUUGGCCUGACUCCUGCCUGUCCCGCCCUGUCCCCAGCUCCUUCCUCUCCCCCGACUCCGAUUCUCCUGCGGUCUGCCUUUCCCCAUUUCCCGCCCCCACACCCCGAUUUUCCACACCCCGUUAUUGUGCGGCUGAGGCUACCACGGCAUCCACCCGGUCUCCACAGGCCAGGGGAGACAGUGUGCAGGCAGGAGCGAACCACGGUGGUUCUGGGGCAGGUCUCCUAGUGCGUCCCAGAGCUGCCCCUGGGGCGGCAUGGGGACUUCUGGAACAUUCUUUCCACUGUACACCUGCUCCAGAAGCGCAUCCCGUGGGGAGCCUGGAAGUCCUCAGAGAGGAGCAGCCUUGACCCUGCCCAUAGCUUUUUAUGAUUGGCUGAGCCGUCGUGCCAAUCUUGCGCCACUAGCCCGGUGAUUGGUCUAGGACAUCAUGUGACCCAAGCCUGGCCAACGAACUGCGAGGGGCUGCCUGCAGGGGGAAUCAUGGGAAAGAUUCCCCUGCUGGAUGGGAGGGGAGGCGCCGCGUGCCUUGGGUUCCCCCCGUGACGCGGUGGGGGGAGGGGCGUGCUGCCGGUGUCGCUGCGGCCUUUUGGACGCAGAGCAGGAGGCCUGAGGCUUGCCGGGGACUGAGGCGUGUCCGGCAAACAUGAGCAGGGCGGCAGAGCCAGACCCCCGCGGCCACCCGCCUCCAGGAUGCCCGGCUCGGACGGUGGAGCUGUUCCGUGGCCCACACGGGGAGACUGAGGCUGGCAGAGAGAGAGAAGCGACCCAAACCCAGGCUUCUCCGACUCCAGAGUCACGGGGCUCCUGUAGCUGAGGACGGUCCCUUGUAGCACUUGUCAGACUGUGGCCCGUGUCCACGCCCUCAACUGAGCCUCCUGAAAUCCUUGCCUGUCGGUGGUCCUGCUUCCCGGAACCUCGUGUGCUCCGCGCACGAUCGGAGGAAACCCGGGAAGUCAGGCUCCUCCCUCCGCUUCCGGAUGCGCGGACACGUGGUUUGUCCUGUGACUCCGGAUCUGUGCUCAGCAAGGAAAAGGAGAUGAGAAAACGUUUGCAAAGCACCUCCUCCUGUAGCGGGCGCCGUUGUGUGUCCUUACUCAGCAGGGACCCAUUUAGUCUUUGGGAACCGCGGGACGCUUGGGAUUCUAAUGCAUCUGGACGGGGUCAGAAGAGGUGCAGGCUGUGUGCCCCCCCCCCCCCCCAGGACCUCUGCUGAUAGGGUUUCCCUGAAUCUGGCAGAGAACCACCGUCACCUCUGCCGGGCUGGAGGGCAAGGUGCCGCUGCGGCAGGGCCUCCCUGGAGGGCCGCACGGUGCCCCCCAUGCGACAGGCUGCUGAGCCCAGAGAUGUUCUGCAGACGGAGGUUUGCCGUGACAGCUCCUAGAAACCACGGCAGCUCCUUCCCAAGUUACUAGAGCUGCAAACCGAGGUAAAGGUGGGAUUUGUGUGAGGCUUUCGAUCAUAGAAACACAAAUGGCACCUUGGUCUCAAAGUAACGACUCUCUGAAUUCUAAAUAAAAUGCAGGAGAUUCACAUUUUCCCCCCUGCGC